rnacentral:rRNA from 1 species
GACGAACGCUGGCGGCGUGCCUAAUACAUGCAAGUAGAACGCUGAAGGAGGAGCUUGCUUCUCUGGAUGAGUUGCGAACGGGUGAGUAACGCGUAGGUAACCUGCCUGGUAGCGGGGGAUAACUAUUGGAAACGAUAGCUAAUACCGCAUAAUAGCAGUUAUUGCAUGAUAACUGUUUGAAAGGUGCAAUUGCACCACUACCAGAUGGACCUGCGUUGUAUUAGCUAGUUGGUGGGGUAACGGCUCACCAAGGCGACGAUACAUAGCCGACCUGAGAGGGUGAUCGGCCACACUGGGACUGAGACACGGCCCAGACUCCUACGGGAGGAAGCAGUAGGGAAUCUUCGGCAAUGGACGGAAGUCUGACCGAGCAACGCCGAGUGAGUGAAGAAGGGUUUCGGAUCGUAAAGCUCUGUUGUAAGAGAAGAACGAGUGUGAGAGUGGAAAGUUCACACUGUGACGGUAUCUUACCAGAAAGGGACGGCUAACUACGUG